rnacentral:rRNA from 1 species
UCGUGGAUUGAUCUGUCAGGUUGAUUCCGGUAACGAACGAGAUCUUGGCCUUUUAAUGACAGUUUGAUCGGUUGUAGUCCAAUGUUGAUGCACUUGCGUACUCACGUUGUAUGAGAUCUUGACAUGUACUUAAAAGGACUAUGCGUGUUUACAGUGCAUGGAAGUGCGAACCUAUAGCA